AACUUUCCCUGAAUCUCCUGACUAUGGUGGAGGAGUGUGGAUCCUGGAACUAAACUGAGGUGAUAGGGAGGAAAAGAGAGAAAUCAACAGUAAACGCUGCACAUCCUCUGUCUGGUAAAUGUGCAUCACUGAUUGUAUCCAAUCUAGAUUCAACCAGAGAGACGGAAGCAUUAAGAAUGACAUAGAAUAUGGAAUUUGCUAUAGGGAUUUGAGCUUCUACAUUUGCGGGAAGGAGCGAGUUGAACACUUAGGAACAGCUGUUGCUGCCGUGUCUGGUGGGGGGCCUGAGAGUGGCAGGACAAGCAGCCUGCCCCAGAAGUGGAAGAAACUGAAAGUGGAGUCCUGAGAGCUGAAUCUGCCGCAGGCCCGCGGGCCGCCCGGGAAUUAGGAAAGUUAGAGGGGAUCCACGCCCACAAGUGCUAUGGACUCUGAUCGCCCAACCAGAGCAAACCCAGAAGGACAACUCUCCAAGCCUUUCAAUCACUCCCACUAACCCGUAUUGUGGACACACUAUUGUGAGGCCUACUAAGGAUGUACUGCUGAUGACCUUUUGAAGGCCAGUGGACCUGCUCUGCAGACCCAGGCUCCUCUCCCAUGGAGCAUCCCAAGUCUGUCCUUAUGGGAAGAAGCAGGAGCCCUGUCUGGCUGUACCCCAAGCUGCUUUCUCUGGACCAAUGCUGUCAGCGAUAGAGGGAACCCUUCCACCAUCAUGUGAAGAAGCCUGGUCUAGCCUGCUGGAGGAUGAGAGAUCACAUGGAAUGAGGCCACAAUCGUUCCAGCCAAAGCCCCAGUAAUAGAAUUAAGAUCAUCCAAGACCAUGGCAUCCCGCCUGAGAAGUUCAGAUGAGAAGGGCCACCUGAACAACCAACAGAAUCUUAAAAAGUAAAAAAUGAGUGUUGCCACUAUGCAUCUAUUAGAAUGGCAGAAAUCGAAGACACUGACAACAACAAAUGCUGGUGAGGAUGUGGAGCAACAGGAACUCUCACUCACUGAAGAUGGAAAUGCAAAAUAGUGCAGCUACUUUGGAAAACAGCUACUUUGGCUGUUUCUUACAACACUAAAUAUGCUAUUAUUAUAUGAUCCAGAAGUUUUGCUCCUUAGCACUUACCCAAAAAAGUUGAAAACUUAUGUACACACAAAAACCUGCACAUGGAUAUUCACAGCAGUUUUUGAUAUGGUUUGGCUCUGUGUCCCCACAGAAAUCUCAUCUUGUAUUUGUAUAAAUUUAUGGGGUACAAGAGUAAUUUUGUUAGCAUGCAUAGACAUGCAUAGACUGCAUAGCUCCCAUAAUUCCCACAUGUUGUGGGAGGGACCAGGUGGGAGGUGAUUGAAUCAUAGGGGCAGGUCUUUCCUGUCUUGUUCUUGUGAUAGUGAGUGGGUCUCACAAGAUCUGAUGGUUUUAAAUAACAGGAAUUUAUCUGCACAAGCUCUUUUAUUUUGCCUGCUGCCAUCCACAUAAGAUGUGACUUGCUCCUCCUUGCCUUCUGCCAUGAUUGUGAGGCCUCCCCAGCCAUGUGGAACUGUAAAUCCAAUUAAAUCUCUUUCUUUUGUAAAUUGCC
rnacentral:lncRNA from 1 species